CCUAAGUAUCAUCUUUCAUGAUAAAAAUAAGUUGAAAUUAUAAUACUAACGUAUGAAAGGUUAUGUUUUCACAUUUUCGGUCAGUGCGGCUUUUGCAGCCCAAAACACUACAAUUCACCAUUUUAAAUAUCUAAAGAAAUAAUUAUUACACUUAAUUAAGAACAAAGAACACAAUUUAUACUUUAAGAAACAAAUUUCAGUCCACAUGAAGUUUACUCCACAAAGUUCGUCUGCCCCGUGACCUCACGGGGCAGACAAAUUAAAGCGAGAUUCUGAUAAGGACAAAAACUUUUCUCGGGCUCUGUCACUCUUUCAGGAUUUCGUAUAGCUACAUCUCAUUCGUUCACGGUAUUAUUCUUCCAUGUCAAUUCUAUAUAAUUCUUUUUCUUAGUUCCGCACGGAAUAGACAAAUAUCUAUGACCAUACAGCCUGUUAAUUCCAAGGUCGAUUUUAUUAAGACGUUGCCACGAAUGAAUAUUCGUUUUUAUCAAUCAAUAUUAUAAAAUAAGUGGGUAUACCUAUUAUUUUCUUUAAUUUCCAUAAUAAAGCUCGGCCGAAUUAAGUAUGUAGGUAACUAAAAUACUACGAGAUUCCAAAAGAACAGCAAAUAGAACAUACCUAUUAAAACCAUAGAGAUUUAACGGUUUUCACGAGUGCCAAAAAGUAUAUUGUGUUAUAGUUUUCACUACAAUAGCAGUUAAAAUAAAGUUUAGGCUAUUUAAAACACACUGUUUUAUUUAUGUAUUUAUAUAUUAUAAUAUUGUAUAUAAUAGUUUUGAUUUAUUAAUAGCUCAUUGAAGAACUAUAAUUAAAUCUUUGAAUAAUUUUCAAUAUUAAGUAAUAAGUUUAUAAUUUUAUUACUUUAGUAAUACAAGUAAUUAUUUCAAUUUUAACAAUUAGGUAAGUCAAGGUAAUCGGUUUAUGUAACAUUAGGUAAAUUAAGUAGGUAUUUUAUUUAUAAUUUAUUCUUCUCGUAUGUUUUCUGUGCUUCUACAAUAAUAGUAGAAUUAAAGAGGUAAAGUUUGUGGUAUUAUAGGGGCAGAUACAUAGGCGUAUAUAGAGGGGAUCUGUUAUAUUAAUGGCGAAGAAGGCUUCGUUGUUUCUAAAUGUUGUUUUUACGGGUAAAAUAAACGUAUAGAACCUCUACUAUAACCUAGUCACUGGACAUAAUAUAUUUUUGUGAAUGUUUUAUUUUUUAUUUAAAUCAUAGUAAACCCAUGUUAGUGAUAUAUGAGCAAAGAUACAUUGAAACUGGAAGGUGUAUGGGAAAUUGGCCAAUAACUCUAAAACGGUAUAGUGCUACACAAAAAAAGUAAAAAAUAAAUGAGGGCGCUGUAGUCACUUUUUGUCUAAGAAAAAGAAUUAUAUAGAAUUGACAUGGAAGAAUAAUACCGUGAACGAAUGAGAUGUAGCUAUACGAAAUCCUGAAAGAGUGACAGAGCCCGAGAAAAGUUUUUGUCCUUAUCAGAAUCUCGCUUUAAUUUGUCUGCCCCGUGAGGUCACGGGGCAGACGAACUUUGUGGAGUAAACUUCAUGUGGACUAAAAUUUGUUUCUUAAAGUAUAAAUUGUGUUCUUUGUUCUUAAUUAAGUGUAAUAAUUAUUUCUUUAGAUAUUUAAAAUGGUGAAUUGUAGUGUUUUGGGCUGCAAAAGCCGCACUGACCGAAAAUGUGAAAACAUAACCUUUCAUACUUUUCCACGAGAUGUCUUUAUUAAUAAAAUAUGGACAAAGGUGACAGGAAGAGACAGGAAGACAAAGGUGGCCUUCAUUAUCCGUCACCGUCAGUUAUUAAAUUAUGUGAAAUAGCGGAGGAAAUAUUUUAAAAAAAUAAACUACUAAUAAGCAAAACAAACUUGAUGGAGCAUCUACUGCAAGCAUGUUGUACGAAAUGUUGUACGAAAUGACCUUCAUUUAUUUUCCGAAAAUGACCAUUUUCGUGAUAACCACCAUUAUAUUUUAUUAAUUAAAGCCAUUUGUAGAAAAUACUCAAAUGUGAGGUUACAUUAUUGUACUAAAUCCUUAACUUGUGAAGAAAAUGUAAGAAAUUUUUACACGAAAUUAAUUUUAUUCAAAGGACAGUAAAUUUUUUUUGGUAAAAAGAUUUUAUUCUUAAUUCCAUGCUGUGCUAGUAUAUUUUCCUAACUAAUGUUUUAUGAUGUACACAAUCAACAAAUCACAAAAUACACCAAGCAAUCAAUCAAAAGCGUAUUAUUUCUGAACACUAUUUAUUUCCAAUUACACAAAACCAGUUAGUUGUGAAAAUUUCAAAUUUUUUCAUUUUUAGUAGUUAUAUUUUUAUUUAAAAAAUGAAUUCUAAUUUCAAAAUAUCUGACCCUAAUUGUCUUCAAAAGUAAAAUAAUAUGACUGUCGAAAGGACUUUGGUUGUAUAUAUGUUUUUAAAUCAGGAUGAAAACAAUGGUAAUUAAUGCUUUUUUUUUAAUAUGACCAACAUUCCCAUUCCUUUCCAACUCGUCGGGACAAACUGUAUCAAGAGUGGGUACAACAAUACUCGAACGGGGCGGGGUCGAUUCAUCAUCCCUCGGUGCCAGCUUUUACGCUCUGACUUCUGAAUUGGCCAAUUUCGUCAAAUAGUAUGAUAUAAAAAUAUUUAUAGACUUGUCAAAUAGUAUGAAAUAAAAAUAGUCUUGAAAUAUAGGGUAAUUUUUCGAUCACUGGUAACACCAGAUAAUCUAUGUACUUUGUUGUUGUCCCUUACCGGGAGACUCCUAAUAGCUACUCCAUACUAUUCUCCCUCCACGCUUUUUGUCUUUCUAGAGUUUGACUAAUGAAAGUAGAGACUAAAAUCGCCCUCCAAAAUAAAAAAAAAAAAUUAAACAAAU
rnacentral:lncRNA from 1 species